rnacentral:tRNA from 1 species
GCGGAAGUAGUGAAAGGGCCAUCACGACUGCCUUCCAAGCAGUCAUUGCGAGUUCGAAUCUCGUCUUCCGCA